AGUCAGGUGAGAAGAGUCCUUUGGCGGUGGCAUCAUAGUCAGGUUCAUAGGCACUAGAACAGGGUCCUCAUCAGGAUUCCUGCCCAUAGGGUAUUUUCUUGGCCAGGCUGCACCUUCUCUCUCCCUGCAUCCUUGUAGCUGCUGUGUCAGUGGAUAGAAAGUUCUUAUGCAUCCCACGUAGCUAGCCCAUUGGAGGGAUGGGUCACCGCAUGCCUCAGGGAGAAAGUUCUGAACACUACGAUUUCACCACGAGAAGCUGGGUGCUGGGUGGGGCUUGGUUCACACCUGUGGUUCCUAACCAGCAGAGCACUGGAAUCGCCUGAGGGGAACUUAGUCCUCGGCGGAUGCUUAGCCUCCA